UCCUCAGUAGCUCAGUGGUAGAGCGUUCGGCUGUUAACUGACUGGUUGUAGGUUCGAAUCCUACUUGUGGAG
rnacentral:tRNA from 1 species